UACGUAGGGGGCAAGCGUUGUCCGGAAUUAUUGGGCGUAAAGAGCUCGUAGGCGGUCUGUCGCGUCGGCUGUGAAAUCCCGAGGCUCAACCUCGGGUCCGCAGUCGAUACGGGCAAACUAGAGUAUUGCAGGGGAGACUGGAAUUCCUGGUGUAGCGGUGAAAUGCGUAGAGAUCAGCAGGAACACCCGUGGCGAAGGCGGCCCCCUGGGCCGUACCUGACGCUGAGGCGCGAAGGCUAGGGGAGCGAACGGG
rnacentral:rRNA from 1 species